UACGCAGGGGGCAAGCGUUAUCCGGAUUUACUGGGUGUAAAGGGAGCGUAGACGGCAUGGCAAGUCAGAUGUGAAAGCCCGGGGCUCAACCCCGGGACUGCAUUUGAAACUGUCAGGCUGGAGUGCAGGAGAGGUAAGUGGAAUUCCUAGUGUAGCGGUGAAAUGCGUAGAUAUUAGGAGGAACACCAGUGGCGAAGGCGGCUUACUGGACUGUAACUGACGUUGAGGCUCGAAAGCGUGGGGAGCAAACAGG
rnacentral:rRNA from 1 species